UAAUAGCAUAUAUUAAAGUUGUUGCGGUUAAAAAGCUCGUAGUUGGAUUUCUGCUGAGAACGACCGGUCCGCCCUCUGGGUGUGUAUCUGGCUCUUUCUUGGCAUCUUCUUGGUGAACGUUGCUGCACUUGACUGUGUGGAGCGCUACCCAGGACUUUUACUUUGAGGAAAUUAGAGUGUUUCAAGCAGGCAUACGCCUUGAAUACAUUAGCAUGGAAUAAUAAGAUAGGACCUCGGUUCUAUUUUGUUGGAUUCUAGAGCUGAGGUAAUGAUUAAUAGGGAUAGUUGGGGGCAUUCGUAUUUAACCGUCAGAGGUGAAAUUCUUGGAUUUGUUAAAGACGGACUACUGCGAANGNAUUUGCNAAGGAUGUUUNCAUUG
rnacentral:rRNA from 1 species